UUUAACAGUUUAAAAAUCAUCUGUUAACUAACAAUACAAAUUGUAAUAUACAUAAUUUGAUUAAUUAUCACCUGUUUUCAACUAAGUAUAAGUACUUACUCGCUUAUCAGUAUCAUAAUAAAGUUAAUUAGUAAUUAAUAUCAUAUUAUAUUAAAUAAAAGUAUUGAAAUUUAGGACUUAGCUAACUAAUAUAUAGCCCAAGAACGCUAUUAACUUCAAGAGGAGUCCCUCUCAAGAGUGCUUUCAAUUUUUUUUUUUUAUAUUUUCCAUUGGUGAAUUUAAUUUAUUAUCUACUACAAAAAUAAAAAUUCUAUCUAGUUGUUAGAAAUAUUGUUGAAUAUAAAUACUGAUAUUAAAUAAUGUUUAUUUUUGUAAAUUAGUUAUUCGCCUG